AUAGAACAAAAUUAAUAUUUGAUGCUUCUUUUGAUUUUAAUGCCUUUUUUUCUUGCACCUUUCAGGUUCACGUGUCAUUUGGAGCUGAGCUGACUUGCAGAAAGGAAAAUUACACCUAGGACUGCUCACCUAUCAGGAAGCCGCCAAGCUAAACACUCCCAUCUCCAAUGACCACAAACAAACGUCGCCGAAAAGCAGGAAGGAAUUCUGCUUAUGCUGCAGGGCCAUCUGCUGGACAUUAGCAUACACAGCAAGCGAGAACAUAAGUUAUGGGACAGGGGUCCCCAACCUUUUUUGCACCACGGACCGGUGUGAGUUGGGUCGUUUUUUUCACGG